CUUUAGCUUUCCUUCACGAAAUAAGUGGAACUGCUGUAGCAGGAAAGACUGAGGAAGCCCCACAUCAGAUACACUAAUUGUGAGCUCCCAGUGCUUUGCUGUGGCAACUAGUGUUCCAGAAGCACCAGGAAGAAGCUGGUGGAACCAUGGACAACUGGCAAGAGUUACUGGCAGAGAACCACAGGAGUCCCAGGCGAGCUGGUAUAGGCAGCUAUUGAAACAACAGGAGCUGAAGAAAGCUGCUUGGGAAGACUGGCCAGAGCUGGGGAACCCUGCUAAGGUGCAGGAAAUCUCAUGCAGAGGUCACUGGGCAAAGGGGAAACGUAGCUUGGUCAGGGGAAGCCAAGCCUGGGAAAAAGAGUGCUGAUGCUGGAGAGUAGAUCCCAGGAGCAGGGGUAGGACUUGCCGGCAGGGAGGGCUGGUGUAUGGAACCCUGUGGGAAGCCCUCUGAGAGGAGGACUUGUCAUGGGGGAUGUGGUAGCAGAGUCAUGGGAGAGAAGAGACUCUGUUAACUCUCUGGUGGGUGCCUGGAAAGUGAAGCCCUGGAACAGGGCAAAGGCGCUGGGGACAGACUGGAGAUGGAUGCUUGGGUGGGCAAGCUGGAAGUGAUGAGCCUGGAGGAGGCAUGAAAAUCUUCUGGGAUGUUACCUGUUCUUUGGGAAGAACAAUUUUAUCAGAAGGGUUCUGUGGACUAGUGUACAUAAAUAAAUUAUGCAUAGAAGCAGGCCUUUGAAUUGGACAUGGAGACUAUGUUCCUUUCCAGGGGCAAAUGAAGGGGAAACUAAGGCAGGUGCACCUGCCCUGUCAUGCUGCAGGAG